rnacentral:rRNA from 1 species
AUGGCCGACGGCGCCGCCAACCCGGAGAUGGAGAACAAGUCCCCGGCCGACGUAGAGGCUCCUAAGGCCACCAAGACGGCAGUGGACGCAUACCAGAAGAAGAUGGGGGCGCUCUCGCUAUCGGCGCCGGAGGACGACGUCGGCGUCCUGCCACUCGACCUGCUCCACGACAUCCUACUGCGCCUCCCUGCCAAGUCGGUCUGCCGCUUCCGCGCCGUUUGCACCGCAUGGCACUCCCUGCUCUGCCACCUGGAUUUCAUCGCGGCCGCUCAACCUGGCCCGCGCAUCGCAGUUGGCCUGUGCCAUGACGGCCCUGGCGAUGCCGUCGUCAGCGUCCUGGACAUGGAUUCUGGCCACGUCCUCAAGCAGGUAAGCAUUGACGUCGUCACAAGCCGCCACAGCACGCCGCCGCCGCACGAGACGCCCGACGUGAGUCCCGAACGAGCAGUCUGUGUCGUGGGCAGCGACGGGCGGCUCCACCUGAUCGACCCUGCCACCGGCGCAGUCAAACUCUUGCCUGACCCGCCGGCAUCAAACCACAUGUCUACUUUGUGCACGCUUGGGUGCGCCGCCUUGACGGGAGAGUACAAGGUGCUCGCCAUCGCGAACGCAGCUAAGCAUACGUGGCAGCAGAUAUGCAAGAUCCUCACCCUCAACGAUAAUGGCGGGGAGCAGCGCUGGAGGGAGACCGGGAGCCCAGGGUACAGUUUGCUAGCGCCACUACCGCCCCGGACUUACAGCAGGGAGGUCGCUGUGGUCGAGGGGGUGGCCUACUUCCUGGUCAAGCCCGACGACACACCCGACGUGCAGCAUGCCUGGAUCAAGGCCCGGAGUGCAAGCACAAUGUCGCCUUAG